rnacentral:lncRNA from 1 species
UUCACUGUAGUAAUUUAUUUUAUUUUUUAAUAAUGAAAGUCUUCAUAAAUUUGACAUAUGACUUUUGGCUACUUCACUUAAGAGUGAGUGUGUAUGUUGCAGAUUCAUGUGUGUGGUUUGCAUUUUUUUGAGGUUUUGGUUUGUUCUUAUUUUUCUUAUUUCACAUUUAUGUUUUUAAAGUUAUUCCUUCUUUAUUUUUUUAAUCACAGCAAUCCUCCCCUCAUCCAUGGUUUCAUUUUCUAUGGUUCCAGUUACUCAUGGUCAACCAUGGUCAGAAAACAGGACAAACUGAGAGUAAAAGAUGCAGGAAUAAAACACAGAAAUCAAAAUAAAGGGUUUACUGCUGAAAAAUCCGCUUGAACAAGCCUGUUAAUGUGAUCUUCCUGAAUGAAGCCAGCUUACCCCUAGGCCUCCACUGUCCCUCAGGAAAGAGAACACGAAAACUGGAACUCUCUGCAGAAAGGAGGAUCCCAAAGAAGGGGCCAAGCUGUACAUUUAUCAAUCAGGAAAGCCACUCCACCCUCCAUGGCAGCCCCUACAAUUUGAAACAAGUAUUCUUCCUAACAUAACACAUUAAUUCAUGAGUUUAUCAGUUCAUUUCAUUUUUACUUUGAGAUUUUUGUGAAUAACCAUAGAAAAAUCUAUUUCACCUGGCAAUAAAUAGGAAAAGGCACAGCAUAAUGUUUAAAUACAGAGAAUAUUGUUACAUGUAAGAUGUUGAUUGAAUGUUCUAAAUACAAUUUGAAAACUGCGUGAGAGGAGGAAAACGUAUAUUCAGAAGGACUUAGGUGAAUCCAGAUGAAUAUUUUCAUGACAGGAUGUUGGCUAUUGAUAUGAAGAAAGUAGAGGAAUAGACUUGCUAAAAGUUAGAGGAGUCUAGUUUAUCUUCCAAGAAGCUUUGCAACCCUGUAAUACUGUAGAAAUCACAAAUUUGGCAAUAAUUUUAAGAUAAUUUAUGUUCAUUUUUUAUGGAAUGCCAUGUUUAUCUUUUUAUAUAUGACAUUUUCUGGUCAGUAGUAAUAUAUAUAUCCUUUAUUAAAAUUGGAAAAUAAAUACAAACAUUUUAUUUAUUUAUUGGUUAAAAAAUUAUUAUGCUCAUUCUUUUUUUUUUUAACCAGUAAGGAUCUGGAUAAAGAAAAACAUUUUAGAAAACCACUUGUAGAGUACCAUGAACCAGUCUCUCUUCUCCAUUUUAAAAAAUUUAUUGACUCACUUUUUUUCCAUAACUUUUUGAGAUAUUAUUUCAACCACUUUGCAUUUAGAGAAAAAGAGUCAGAGAGUGAUUAAGAAAUCUGCCCAAUGCUAUACUGAUAGAAGCUGGGAGAACUGGGAUUUGAGCUUACAUAGGCUAGUUCUAGCAUUUGUGAAGUUCUCGCCUAAUAAAAAUUAUCUGUAAUCAUAACCAGAGCAAGUCAUUUCUAACCUCCUGUCUAUAGACACGCGGAUACAUUUGUAAUGUUUUUGUUUGUUUGUUUUUAGCACGACAGAUCAAUUCCUGCUGGCAUUAUAGUUCUUUAACUAUCAUAGCUUCUCUGAUUUUUCAACACAUCUGUCAUCCGUAUUCUGCAGGCAUAGCCAACUCUGUCAGUGUCUCCUCAGGCAAUCAGAAUCAACAGACAGAAUGUAGGACAGAAAACUGGCUGCAAACAUGUUGGAAGGGCUGGAGGAGCGAAAGAGGGAAGAUCUGUUACCUAGAGAUAGUAACUUCCAGAAGUUACCACUAUACUAGUGCAGGAGAAGCAGAAAGGAAGAUGCUGCUACCCAGAGCCCACAGUCAUUGUGCCCCUGAUGCCGCUGGAACCCCACUGCAGCUGCUUUACAGGAAGCAGGGAAUUAGCGCUCUUGCUGAUGCUACAGGUAUCCAGGAUCCAAAAGUCAUCAGCCGCUGUCCCUGUUGCAGCCUAGGGAAACUGUCCCACUGAGGUUGUUGGGGUACCUGCUACUGCAUCUACUGUCUGAACCAUGUUGCCUGAGCAGAUGUCCAGGGCUCAGGCUUGCCUGCUGCUGUUACUGCUGCCACCAUGUUUAUCAGAGCUACUUCAAGAAGAGAAGAAAUCCUCCUCAUUUCCAGUUUUUUCCAGUGCCUCCCAUUGCUUCCCAGAAUGCCAAAUUCUCUUUGAGAGACAGCUGAAAGGAAGGUUUGGAAAAGACUCUGGUGUAAGCAGAUUCUGCUUCCCUGCAAUAGGGGGAAAGCAUAGGGUGGAACUGGAGCUGAGAGCUAAUCACGAAUGAGCAAAUCAGUCUUCAAGACAUUUACCUUUCCUUGAAACGUUUCCCUUCUUUUACCGUGUUUUCCAUGUCAUUAUUUUUCCACAAUUCUGCAUCAUAUUCUGUUAACUAUUAAUGCCCUGGAUAAGUUUAUUUGCUCUUUCUUAGGGUUAAUUUUUCUCCUUUUCUUCGAAGCUUUAGUUUGCAGGUUCAGCUUGUGUGGGAAUUUUCAUCUCCCUCCUCUUCAAGACUCCUUGGAUAUCAGUUUUUUGGUUGCCUUCACCAACUCUCCCCCCACCAUCUCUAGACCAGGGCAUGGUCUUAGUUGGUGGCUUGGACUCCUGUGGCUUGGAGUCUUUGGGGAUAUUAGAGAUCCAGUCACUGAGCUGGCAAAGGGAACACUGUCCUUGCUUCCAGCUUUAUGAAGAACGCUUUGCUCUGUCACCCCACGUGAGUCCAACUCUUGGCUGCCUACACUGCCUGAGGCUUCAGUUCUGGCAUCGUGCUGCAUGUGAUCUAUUAUCCUGCUUUUGAAUAUGCCUAUGACUUUUCUUUAUAUAUUUUUAAAAAUGUUAUUAUUGGUAUGUUUACAGUGAAGGGAAGAAUGUGAAGCAUGAACUCAAGAGUCACAGUAAUGAUAAAUUUUAAUGAUUGUAAUUGUCCUAUCUGUCAUAAUACAUUUAUUUUGUUGAUUUGUUUGGAUUUUCUAGGUAAAUAAUCAUGUUAUUCAAGGAUAAUGAAUGCAGCCACCAUGUAAUCAUCACUGACUCCAUGGCCAUGAGAAAAGAGACCUAAGAAAUGAUGCCCAUCCAGAAGAGUGAAGACUUCCUGAAAAUGUUCUUUUAACCUAAGAUGUAGGUUAAGAGGAGUGAAAAAAUGUUCUGUUUCUGACUGAUGAUGGAGCAACAAAGAUCCUAAGAGCGAUCCCGCAAUUCAUUCAUCUUGAAUAGACUCAUAGAGCUUCAAGAGUGGGCUUCUGAAGCCCACUCCAACUCCAUUCUUGUUCCUUGGUCCCUCUGGAGCUGGUCUGGCCCCUAAGGAUGUAUGUUUCUUAUUAAUAACACUGAGCAGUUAGGAAGCAGAUGUGCCUCUCCAGGGAAACUCACAAGUGUCCACUGACCUAGUAUCUGCGGAGAACCAUAGCAGUUGUGGUCUCUCUCCCCAGCUUCAAGCAAGGGCAACUUUUCCCUGUGUCUGGUUCUUUUGCUGUCACCUGAAGCCACAGAAAAUGAUCUGAACCUGCUCAGUCCCUGGACAUAUCUGGGGAAUACAAAGUCUCAGAGUCGCUCUCUAAGAAUUGCCAGCAUGUUCUAGAGAUUCUUUAGAUGCAUAGCUGCAUGGAGCAAAACAGGGUCAGGGGAUGUGUGCCGAGGCCAAGGUCUUCUCUUAUGUUUCAAAAAUAUUAACAUUUCAGGCCUGUCUUCUUUUAAAGGAUAGCUCAUGUAUAUGAUUUUUUAAAAAAAAAUCUACCAAAUCAAAUAAAGAAGUCCUGGGAGUUCACCCGGUGUUUUCUACAGAACCAAGGUAUUCAUAUUGAGAUCCUUCAAUAUAAUCAGCUAUGUGACCUUGGUUAAGUUAAUUAAUGCCUCUGAAACUGAGGUUCCUCAUCUGUGAAAUGGAGAUAUUCAACAAAGCACCCUGUGGGGAUUAGAUGAGAUUGCACAUCUGACUGCCUAGAGUAUAGUAAGGGGUCACUGUUUCCUCUUCACUCCUCAGGAAAAUUUGAUUGAACAAGGAUAGAAACUUUGAUUCUAGGGACAGAAGGUCUUCAGAAGUCUUUGAGGCCAGAGGGCCUGUCAUAGAACUGCAGUGUAGGUUCAUUAAAACGCUGUCAUCCUAAUGUUUAUCCACAGUAUCUAAUAGAUUUAAAAGGAAGACAAUAUGGCACAGACUAUUUCGGAAACCUAUGCCCAUUCUGCCAAGAGGAUAUCGCUAUUGGUGGUCAGACUAUUUCACUUAUAAGGUUUCUUUUUUCCUUAAGUCAUAAAGAUUAACAUUUACUAAAAAUUUGAGGGUCCAUUAAUGGACUCCCACAUGGCUUUCCUCUUUCCUUUGAGCUGGAUUCAUUUUCACUGAGUCCCGAGUCCUGCACAUCUGACAAUUGCUUCAGACCUUGGACAUGCUUGAAUUAUUUUAUGCAAAUCAUUUGAAAAGGCAAAGUACCACUGUUCUUUCUUGAGUUUCUUCGUAAACUGGUUUCUAAUUUAUCUGCUGCUUUUUCUCGAUCCAAUUUGUGCCUAUGUCUUACUAUAGAUUCUUUGGAAAUAAAGAAAUAAAGAAUAUAUCUGUAGCUAUUUUGUUAAACUAAGAAUGUUUUAAAAUAUUUUAUUGUAAAA